AUGCAUCCAAUCCUCAAUCCUCCGUCUCUGAUUUCCCAUCUCCAUUAUGCUUCGUUUACUUCCCAGCCGGAGCCCCAAAUUCCUCUAGAUCCGUCGGAGGAAGCCAUUCCCCCUUCUUUGAUCAUGGACCGGACGAAUCCGAGGCCGGAAUCCAAUCCACUACUGCUGCGAGGUCAUGGAGAUCCUAGUUUACCUCCGCCUGGAUCCUCUUCGGUUCAAGCCCCCAUAGAGGCCAUGCUUUCUUUGGAUUUGCAGGCACUCAAUCUGCAAGAUCCAGAAAUUGCCUCUGUUCAAGCAGCCCAAGAAACAAUGGAGCUUGGAGCAGAUGCGAAGUUCAACAUGCUCAUCAUUCUCGCAGCCACUGGAAUGAGUCCAGCUAGAGUACUAAAUUUGCAAACUCUGCAACAGGCAAUGGCCAAAGCUUGGAGAAGUAAUUAUCAUGGGAUAUCUCAGGUAUCAAGGUCGAUGUUCAUGGCUCAUUUUAGAACAUUAGAAGCUAUGAUGUUUGUUAUCACAAGACAGCCUUGUAUUAUGGGUUCUGAUAAUCUGUUGUUGGAGUGGCUCGAUCCUUCUGAUGAGGCAAAAGAAAAGGAGGACUAUCGGUUUGACACUAUAUACGUCACCAUCAGGAUUUACGGGGUUCCAAGAAGUUUCAGAUCAAUUCAAUUGCUUAGAAGUAUUCUGGAACAGGUGGGAGAGCCAUCUGAAUUUCAUCCACUUCAUCAGGGCCCGCCUCCGCCACCACCAAAGAAACGCUUUCCCCGACAGAAUGCUCAAGAUAGAAGCUCCCUCUCCUCUGAUGUCCUCCCAAUGGACCAGGAAGUGCAUGCUGCAGAGAGGCCUCCAUCUGUUCUUGGUUGCAGGCCAAAAUUAAGAGGCAGCCGCUGGGAUAUCCCUCCUGGAGGUGGAUCGUCAAGUUUCCAAGCCAAUAUACAGGGGAGUCGCCGCGUUUGGAUCCGUGGACAGCACUCUACUUCUCCUCGGGCUUCAUAUGACCAUUCCAGGCUUCGAUCGCCUUCGCCAUCUCUUAGUGCAGAUGUGUUUGAUCACCAUAUCCAGGUGGGUAUGGGUGAUGAUCGUCCUGGCAAUCUUUCCGGAGUCUCAACUCCAGUUCAAGAUCAAGAUGAUCCUACUACUGUUCGAGGUAGUAACAGAAUGGAUAUUGAGGAAGUUCAAUUGGGAGAGUCUAUGGACUAUGACUGGGCAGCGGCGCAUGGCCCUAACGCGCCUCGGUCAACAUGA
rnacentral:rRNA from 1 species